rnacentral:tRNA from 1 species
GUAGCUCAGUGGUAGAGCGCCUGCCUAGCAUGCACGAGGUCCUGGGUUCAAUCCUUGC